AAUUUUGAAAGAUCCCCGGAGUAGGGAGACCCUUACUCAAGUCUCAGGAUGAUGUGACCCCCCAAGAACUCAUAUAAGACC
rnacentral:pre_miRNA from 14 species